UACGGUUAUAUCUCGUUGAAACACUAGUUCCCGUAAUAUCACCGAAGAUAAGCAACGUUGAGUCUGGUCAGUACCUACAUGGAUGGCCGCUUGUGAAUACCAGGUGAUGUAA